rnacentral:tRNA from 1 species
UGGCUCAGAGGUUAAAGCGUCUGCCUGCAAUGCAGGAGACCGGGGUUCGAUCCCUG